rnacentral:rRNA from 1 species
GAUGAACGCUGGCGGCGUGCCUAAUACAUGCAAGUCGAGCGAACAGACGAGGAGCUUGCUCCUCUGACGUUAGCGGCGGACGGGUGAGUAACACGUGGAUAACCUACCUAUAAGACUGGGAUAACUUCGGGAAACCGGAGCUAAUACCGGAUAAUAUAUUGAACCGCAUGGUUCAAUAGUGAAAGACGGUUUUGCUGUCACUUAUAGAUGGAUCCGCGCCGCAUUAGCUAGUUGGUAAGGUAACGGCUUACCAAGGCGACGAUGCGUAGCCGACCUGAGAGGGUGAUCGGCCACACUGGAACUGAGACACGGUCCAGACUCCUAAGGGAGGCAGCAGUAGGGAAUCUUACGCAAUGGGCGAAAGCCUGACGGAGCAACGCCGCGUGAGUGAUGAAGGUCUUCGGAUCGUAAAACUCUGUUAUUAGGGAAGAACAAAUGUGUAAGUAACUAUGCACGUCUUGACGGUACCUAAUCAGAAAGCCACGGCUAACUACGUG